rnacentral:misc_RNA from 1 species
UUUUGAUUUAUUUAUUUGAAAUUUGUAGUUUUUAGAUUUCAAUUUCAAAUAAUCUCAACAAUUUUGCAGUUGUUGAGAUUGAGCUUCUGAAGGGAAUUCAUUUCUUAUACAAGAUAUUCCGUGAAUUGAGCAGUAAACAACUCCUUUAUUGUUACACAUCAUGAGUUCAUUAGUUAUAUUGCUUGGAAUAUUGGGCUAUCUAGCCACCUGGAACUGGAAGCAUUUGCUUUAAGAUAAGACAUGACAGGCUCCAAGUUUUGUUCUGCUGGCCUGCCAUCCCUCAGCACCUAAUGGACCAAGACAAAUUCUAAAACCCACAGCAAGUAUAAACCAAAAUCCAAAAGCUCACAUCUUUAUUAAGAAAAGAAAGCCCAAUAGGCAUCAAACCAUUACUUUAGAUUACAUACAUCCAUAUCUACUUGUUUAUUGGAUCGUAGGGGAUAGGUAUACCAUUUCAGACAAACUGCAACACACCAAGUUCGAAUUUGCCGUUGUUUUCAGGCUCAGCCAGAGAUAUCAAUGGCCUUGACAUCAGGUUUCUUGACUUCCUCUUUAGGCACGGUCACUGUCAAGACUCCACUUUCCAUGCUUGCCUUAACCUGAUCA